rnacentral:rRNA from 1 species
UGACACAGGGAGGUAGUGACAAGAAAUAACAAUACGGGGCUUAAAGUCUUGUAAUUGGAAUGAUGGGAAUUUAAACCUCUUCCAGAGUAUCAAUUGGAGGGCAAGUCUGGUGCCAGCAGCCGCGGUAAUUCCAGCUCCAAUAGCGUAUAUUAAAAUUGUUGCAGUUAAAAAGCUCGUAGUUGAAUUUCUGCUGCAUUGUCGAGUCCCUCCGGGGUCUUGGCACGUGGCUUUUUUCGGACGGUUCA